GUCAGCAACUGAGCAGUCGCAAGAUGAUUAAGAAGAGAUGGAGAUGGAAUGAAAUGUGGGGAGGUUUUCAGAGGCUGGGAGAGCUGCAGGUUGAGCAUGUAUGGCCAGAGCUGGGCAGCAGACACUGGGAGACCCUGACUGUGCAGGGAGAGGUAAGUCAACAGGCCAGGGUACUGACUACAGGCAAUUCUAGAGGAUGGAGCUUUUCCGUGGGUUGGGUGAUGGCAAAGUAAGAAUGUAGUAAAGGACAGGUUAGUUUUAAGAAAGAAAAAAAUUCA
rnacentral:lncRNA from 1 species